rfam:Camelus ferus unplaced genomic scaffold scaffold841, whole genome shotgun sequence.
CAGAGCCCGCCAGCCGCUAAGCCAGGGCCACACCUGGGGGUGACUUUAUGCCUCACCUCCAGUAGGCACUUUGGUCUCUUUGGGCUAAUCUCUGGCUCCCUUGCACUAACUCUUGCUCUCACCCAGCUAAUCCCUGCCUGCCCUGGCUGCCCCAGGGGGGCUGACCACUAACAACCAACCUUGCCCAUCUGGGGGCUCCAGGCUCCUGGCCUGGCUCUGACCUGCUCUUAAUUAACCUCUCCUUCACCUGACUAACUCCUGCCCUCCUGAUCUGUUCCUUUCAGCAGAAACUAACGGCUUGUGGAUUUCUUUCUGACUAACAACAGGUCUAACACUCCUCGUAACUAUUACUAUUAACAGCUUGGAUGUCGGCAUGGCUGGG